AGCUCUCUGCUAAAGGUUACUGAAGUAUAGAGGGUGAAUUCUGCCCAAUGGUUGUACAGUGAAACUGAGGACUAACGUCUAAAGCGAAACCCAACUGAAUGGCCGCGGUAACUCUGACCGUGAUAAUGUAGCACAAUAAAUAGCCAAUUAAUUGUUGGCGGGUAUGAAUGGAACCACGAGGGUCUUACUGUCUCAAGAGGAAAGCCGAUGAAAUUAUAGUUGUAGUGAAGAUACUACAUAAACAUUGUAAGACGAAAAGACCCUAUCGAGCUUUACUGGAUACCGAUAGCGUUAACCUAAAAUGAUCGAUACUAAGUAUCCUAAUUUUGAGUUAAUAAUUUUUGUUGGUAGGACAGUUUAGUUGGGGCGACUACCUUUGAAUAAGAAACGAAGGCGAGCUUAUGGUAUACAAAGCUAAUCUCAUUAGCCUGACAGUGAGGGGGACACCCCUAGCUGGCACAAGGACUACGUCCUAUGUGGGCGAUAAUGACCCGAUAUGAUAGUCCAAAAUAAAUAUCGAAAGCGGAUAAAAGCUACCGUAGGGAUAACAGCGUAAUAUUGUCGGAGAGUUCUUAUCGAGGACAGUGUUUGCGACCUCGAUGUUGAAUUGCGGUGCCCUGGUGCUGUAGAAGGUACCUUAGGUUGGUCUGUUCGACCAUGAAAACCGU
rnacentral:rRNA from 3 species